GUUGCUCUGGCUCUACCUGUUAGGCGUGGAGAGGAGGUUGUGUUGCUCUGGCUCUAUAUGUUUAGCGUGCAGAGGAGGUUGGUUUGCUCUGGCUCUUUCUGUUUGGCGUGCAGAGGAGGUUGUGUUGCUCUGGCUCUGCCUGUUUGGCGUGGAGAGGAGGUUGUGUUGCUCUGGCUCUAUCUGUUUGGCGUCAAGAGGAGGUUGUGUUGCUCUGGCUCUAUAUGUUUAGCGUGCAGAGGAGGUUGGUUUGCUCUGGCUCUUUCUGUUUGGCGUGCAGAGGAGGUUGUGUUGCUCUGGCUCUAUCUGUUUGGCGUGCAGAGACGGUUGUGUUGCUCUGGCUCUAUCUGUUUGGCGUGCAGAGGCGGUUGUGUUGCUCUGGCUCUACCUGUUUGGCGUAGA